AGCAGUCGCCGCGGGAAUACGUAGGGUGCGAGCGUUAAUCGGAAUUACUGGGCGUAAAGCGUGCGCAGGCGGUUUUGUAAGACAGGCGUGAAAUCCCCGGGCUCAACCUGGGAAUGGCGCUUGUGACUGCAAAGCUAGAGUGCGGCAGAGGGGGAUGGAAUUCCGCGUGUAGCAGUGAAAUGCGUAGAUAUGCGGAGGAACACCGAUGGCGAAGGCAAUCCCCUGGGCCUGCACUGACGCUCAUGCACGAAAGCGUGGGGAGCAAACAGGAUUAGAUACCCCAGUAGUCCCUGUCUCUUAUAC
rnacentral:rRNA from 1 species